CGUUGGUGGUAUAGUGGUGAGCAUAGCUGCCUUCCAAGCAGUUGACCCGGGUUCGAUUCCCGGCCAACGCAGUCCACAUUUUUUCAUGACUGGACUCUCAUCCAGGAUGGAUGGGAACAGUGAGAGCGGAUACAGUCGGUGCAUACCUUGACUUCAACAAAGCUCCAGCCCUGCCUCCCUUAACAUCCUUGUAGGUAAGCUUGGGAAGUGAGUAAGCGUGGGAGAAGAUGGAUGAGCAGACAGGUGAGGUGGAUCAGUACAGUACCCUGAGCUGCUGGAGAAGAGAGCAGAGAAGGACCUUCAGGGGUGGUCUGCCUCCAUCACCAAACAAAUAGGUUUUUAACAUGAUAAGCAGGCACCAAAAAGGAAGCUUGUACCUGACUCCUAAGAGUUAAUUCCAGACCUAAGACAGGCAGGUGUUCCAUUAGGGACAGAAGUCAUUGUGCAGUAGCUGUUACCUGAGUCAGCUCUCAGCAAUAGGCCCAGGGAUGGUGUACACUUCUGUGAUGCUUAGAAAAUCUGCCCCACACUACUGCUCAAAUGGCAUUUGUCACACGUACUAGAAAGAGUUAUCUGAGGCAAACAAUGUUUGAGUCCAGUUUAUGAAAACAGCGUCUUCGCUAAACUAAAAAACACAAGACAUUGCUCCUUGCAAUUAAGUAUGGGUUACCUCAAAGAGGAAACGUUCCCCUGCUUACAGGUUCAAAUACACUCCUGCCCGAGAUGAGUGCAGAACUCAGUGUGCACAACACAGCUAUCACCUCUGUCCUCCAGAACAGACUCCGAGGAACUCGGAAUGCUUUUAUUACAUCACACAAUGGCAUCAAUCCCUUUCCAUAAGCAAUCACUGAACAUCUGCCCAACCUGAAAGCCAAGAGCAACAGAAGUCCUCUUCCCACAGCCCCACAGAACCAGGUACCCGCAGACCAGAGAUGACAGGAAGCUCAAAGAAACAUCCCUGGCACGAUACACACACCAGCCGACAGACAAAGCCUUGGACCACAGAACAGACCAAGACUUAAAAACUGUUUGUGUACUAAAAGAACAAGUUUCAUCAUUUCAGAAAUCCUGAAGAACAGAGAGCACAGAACAAGCCCUGCCCAACGCUGCACAGCUUGUUCCAGCAUCCUGUGCUACUGCUGCUAUUUCCUGCAGGGUGAAAUACUUCCAUCAGUUCAUCUGAAAGUUCACGGAGAUGCAGACUAUGAUUAGCAAACACUGACAUCCCACGCAGCGCACGGACAUCCAUCCUGCUUGUUAAAGACAUACCAAACAUAGGAAGUCAGGGCUGCAUGGCUAUAGGAUACACAGCUGAGUAAACCAGGCACCACGGAGCAUACACCACUGCAAGCUGUUCUUGUUUAGCUGCACAUAAAGCAAAAUAUUACAUAUUUUUCCUUAAGAUGACAUGCAUGAGGCACCUCAAAGCUAUACUACUACCAGCUGCUGCUUAUAGAAGCAUCUAUGGGCUUCUCAGAAGAUCUCUGAAGAAAUAGGUUCAGAAACUUUUGUAUUCUUCAGCUGUAAUACAGAUAGAGCCAGUUGAUAAUGAGACCAGAGUAUAAUAAAACCUGAAUAUUUCUGCAUUUGCCACUGAUGAAGAAUCAAAACAAAAGGCCUUUUGCCAUGAAUCAUCAGGGACAGCAUGCAGCUACAACAAUGAGACCAACAGAUGUGGGUUGUGCUGUUGCAGAAAUCAAAUGUCCUUCCAGAACAUUAUUCACUCAUUUAGAAAUACAGAACAGCUUUGUUGGGAUACACAGGCAAGAAGUAUCGCUACAGAGGAAAGGAAAGGGAAGAAAUGGGCUGCCAGAUCAGAGAGUUCAGCUGCCUGAAGCGAACCAGAAAAGCCCCUCAGUGCUUUACACUUUCGUGUAGAUUGGUUUUCUUAAUAAAACAAAAUGAUCGACACCUCAAGCCACAAACUGAAAUUAAAGGACCUCAGACAAGCUGCAUCCCUUGCUGGAGAGGUUUUGUUUUGUUUUAAUUUUAUUGCUUUUUUUAAAAUAUACUUUUCUUCUCAAACAAAAGUAAACAGCUAGAAAACUGAACCCAGUAUUACUGCAUUCAGGAAUGUAGUAAAAUUCCCCCCAGAAUCAUUCAGCUGUUUGGUAACAACAGCAUUAAACAGAAAGGCAUCCUCUCUGCAGCGAUGCUUUGUAGCCAUUCCAUCCCAUCGCUGACGCUCCACUGACCGCACUGCAUUCUCGUCAACACUGAUUAGUUCAACGUUCCCUGUAGAACUUCUAUUCCUCUUGAAGCACGCAGUAGUGUUCCUGUGAUGUGUCUCGUUGGGAAGAAUCCUUCCAUCAUUUAAGUUGCUCAUUCUGUCUUCCAGCAAAGGCAAGAUUACUUCACCAAAAAUGUUUUCUGUUACUGAGAUUCAGUGACUUACAGUGCAAUGGCCAACCAGCCCCGUAGCUUUGCAGUAGUGAAGAAUACACCAACUCAAACAAAGCUUGACUGCAACUGGCUACAGAUACAUCAGUUCUAUUUUGAUCAUAAAAAAAAAAAAAGAAAGAAAAAGCAGACAAUUUUUCAUAGGAACUAGAAGAGAGCCCAACAUUCUAGUGGUUCUGAGGUUCAGAGUUUUCUUUGUAUCUGUAUUUUAAUUUCAAUAACCUAUAGGAGAGCAGAGAACACGAGCUGACCACAUUUCAGAGAUUUCCAUUGGUUUGUCCAAAUCAUACAUUCAAUAAUAGUUGUAUCAGACACACAUCAACGUCUCCUUCCCAUCGUCUGCUUCUGUGCCAAACCUUAAGAUUCUACAAAACAAACAAAACCAUAAAUAGAUACGCACAGUCAGUGGGAUUCUGGGUCUGGGAUGUUUAACAAAGUCGAGCGAAAGCAUCCUUCAAAGGCUGUUGACAGCACUGAGAAAACAGGUGGUAGGUUUUAGAAAACAUUCUCACACAUCAUCAUUUCCCAUUAUAAGCAUUCUAAGCUAUCUACCUGUCUCUAUCUGUGGCAAAAUUACAGCUUAACAUUUCUGUUAGGAACACAUUUGGGACUGUCUCCAGUAUACUUGAGAAGUGCCACGGCUUCCAAGCCCAUUCAUUUAUCACCCCAAGCAAGCAGACCCACACCAUGCUUUUGAUUCAGAAUUCAAUCAAGUUGAUGUUUGAAACUUCUUAUUGCCAGUAAGCUCUCUACAAUAAAACUCGACCACAUAAUUUGAUAUGCAAGCACAAAGGUCAGGUUACGUGACAGCCAGACCUGCCUUCUGCUUGCCAUAUCAGAAUCACCAUCAUUUCCCAAAUUCCAAUCUCUUCUAUCACCCUUAAUUAC